ACAAGCAGCGGAGCGUGUGGUUUAAUUCGUUGCUACACGAAGAACCUUACCUGGGUUUGACAUAUAGGUUGUAGGGAACUGAAAAGGGACCGACCCUUCGGGGAGCCUAUACAGGUGUUGCAUGGCUGUCGUCAGCUCGUGUCGUGAGAUGUUCGGUUAAGUCCGCUAACGAGCGCAACCCUCGUCGUAUGUUAUAUGUGUCAUACGAGACUGCCGGUAAAAGCCGGAGGAAGGUGAGGAUGAUGUCAAGUCAGCAUGACCUUUAUAUCCAGGGCUACACACACGCUACAAUGGUCUGUACAAUGGGUAGCCAAGCCGCGAGGCGGAGCCAAUCCUGAAAGCAGGCCUCAGUUCAGAUUGCAGUCUGCAACUCGACUGCAUGAAGCCGGAGUUGCUAGUAACCGCAGGUCAGCAAUACUGCGGUGAAUACGUUCCCGGGUCUU
rnacentral:rRNA from 1 species